CCAUUAAAAAAAACAGAAAGCUAUUCUCAGUUUCUCUCUAUGGGCACAGCCCUAGGAUUCGAUUAGGGUCCAUCGGCCGUCCACCGUUGCUAGCGACGGUAACCACCGUCAGUGGUGAUCAGAGAGAAACCCGAAGCCUAAACUGAGCCCCUUUUUUACGUAGAAUCAGUUUUAAAACCGAAAGAUUUCAAAAACAAACACCAAAACUCUUAAAAAGAAAAAAAAUAUUGACUCUUGGCCUCCUCCGCCGUGACUUCAACCGGAUCCCCUGGGAUCUGACAGUCUUUGGACCAAAAAAGCGAACGCCGAUAAUCCCGAAACCAAACAAUGGGUAAAUAUCCCUUUUUUUACGUAUUUGCUUUCGAAAAAAGAAUUCAAAAUACAAAAAAAAAAACCUGAAUCACCUUUUAAGUUUUUUAUAUUUUGAUUCUUCUCAAUGUCUCUAUUUUUGAUUGCUUUGUAUGCGUAAAAAAAUUACAAUGAUCAUUGUGGCUUUUAUAGCCAUGAAAGAAAAAUACAAAUUUUUGUUUAUUUUUUCGUGGCUAUUGCCUAUUUCCUGCUGUUGUCCUCUAUUUUCAUCUGAUUUGCAGGUACAAGGCUAGCUGUGUCGUACGAAGGAGGCGACAUGGUGUGCAGUGGUGCGUGGAGGCCGUACGGAGGCUGGGUUGCGGUGCACUUAAGGGUUGGGGCUAGGGUUUCUGUUUGGCUAAACCUAGGUUUAGGUUUUGGGCCACUAGGCCUGGUUUAUUUCAUUCGGGUAUUGGGCCAUUGUAAAAGGGUCUGAAUUUCGAGCUUGUUUUUAUCUUUAGUUUGGGUUCUUUUUAAUUUGGGUUAUGUUUUUGUAAUUGGGCCAAUAUUUGGUAAUUGGUUCUUCGUAUUUAUUUGAUUUAGACUUCUUGAUUUGGGCUCGAGAAGAAUAGGCCUGCUACAAUACGUAUUAUAUUAUUAAUAAAAAUAAUAAGAAAAAUACAUACCAUGUGCAAUUUUAUCUAAUUGUUUCGGUGCAUAUUUUUGGAUUAUUUUUUUUAAUAUUUAACAUAUGCUCUUUA
rnacentral:lncRNA from 1 species